GCACCACAAGGGGUGAAGCCUGCGGUUCAAUUGGACUCAACGCCGGGAAACUUACCAGGGGAGACAGUAGAAUGACGGUCAGGUUGACGACCUUACCUAACGAGCUGAGAGGAGGUGCAUGGCCGUCGCCAGUUCGUGCUGUGAGGUAUCCUGUUAAGUCAGGCAACGAACGAGAUCCGCGCCUUUAUUUGCCAACAAGAAGUCACGACUUCGUUGGGAACACUAAAGGGACCGCCUUCGAUAAGACGGAGGAAGGAGCGGGCAAAGGCAGGUCAGUAUGCCCCGAAACCCCUGGGCUACACGCGGGCUGCAAUGAUAUGAACAAUGGGCAGUAACUCCGAAAGGAGAGACCAAUCCCGAAAUCAUAUCUCAGUGGGGAUUGUCGGCUGUAACCCGCUGACAUGAACGUGGAAUCCCUAGUAAUCGUGUGUCAUCAUCGCACGGUGAAUACGUCUCUGCUCCUUGCACACACCGCCCGUCGCUCCAUCCGAGUGUGCUAAAAAUGAGGUUUGGUCAAUCUGGUCAUAUCGAGUUUCUAGUAUGCGAGGAGGGAG
rnacentral:rRNA from 1 species